UACGUAGGGGGCAAGCGUUGUCCGGAAUCAUUGGGCGUAAAGCGCGCGUAGGCGGCCAGAUAAGUCCGGUGUGAAAGUCACAGGCUCAACCUGUGAAUGCCGCUGGAAACUGUCUGGCUUGAGUCCGGAAGGGGCGAGUGGAAUUCCUGGUGUAGCGGUGAAAUGCGUAGAGAUGUGGAGGAACACCUGUGGCGAAGGCGGCGACCUGGGUCGAUACUGACGCUGAUGCGCGAAAGCGUGGGGAGCAAACAGG
rnacentral:rRNA from 1 species